rnacentral:tRNA from 1 species
GGAGUGGUAGUUCAGUUGGUUAGAAUGCCUGCCUGUCACGCAGGAGGUCGCGGGUUCGAGUCCCGUCCGCUCCGCCA